CCCGGUCCCGCAGCCCCGCCGCCGGGCACCGUCCCACACGGGGGGCACCGGGCCCGUGAAGUAGAAAGUCCGCAACGCGGUUUCCCUUUGGCAUCGGUGCAAUUAAAUUCAACCCAAACACGUGUGGAUUUAGGUCAGACCUAUUUUCCAGAAGCACAUGAAGCUUUAGAUGGAAUCUGGGAGCUGGCAGGCGAUGAGCCGUGUCGUCUGGACCACCAGACCAGUGCAGUGGCCAAGUGUAUCAAAGGCACUGGUGGACCCGGAGCAGCUGUUCAUCUCUGUGUGUGACUUGAGAACAAGAUCUAGAUCCCCAGAGGCCAUAAGGUAGGGCUGUCCAGGCUACCAAGCUCCUCUUCCUAGAAAGAAAUCUAAUCUAGCUGCCAUGGGAAGUGCACUUGGUGUUUUGUUUCUAUUUUUACAUCUAUUGUUAUGUUUAUUCAUAUUCUAUUUGGAACAGACACCACAUACGCUUAUUUCUUCCUUUACCCUGUAGCUAAGUGUUUGUAAGAGGUUCUAACCAGUGUGAUACACUUCCUGAGGGAUCCGUCCCUGGUAUUAUGCGGUGGUUAAUUGUGAUUAUUCAAAACUUCUGCAUACUUUGUUAUGAAAUGUGUUAGCAUGUGUUAGCAGUUCAGACACCACUCAAAUGCAAGCAGUCUUCUGCUCUAACCUGUUGUGGCACUUGAAUGCCCGUUGCCAAGUAAAACCACUGCUCUCUGUGUCUGUAAAAUAGCAGUAAGUGCAGGCAGCAGAAAAUAGGUCGGUAAUAAUUUACCAUGCUAGUCCACUUCAAAUGGAAAGCAUCUACAAUGUAUAAAAAUUCUAAUAAAUGACCCAUCUUCAGCAAUAUUGGGCUUAUAUCUGCCUUGUUUGCCCAGAACUUGUCAGGAACAGCUUUAAGAAUUUAAUCCUCACAGCAUUUUUUCAAGAGAUGUUCUCAGAGUAUAUCUAGUAUACUUCACCUCUGUUAAACUUAUUUGUUUCAGGCCAGGUAUAUAAUAAAACCCCUGCUUCCAUGGGAACCAAAUACAUACAUAAAACAGAAUUCUUCCUCUUCCUUUUAGUGGAUUGUUUGGGAUUGAACUAUUUAGGAAAGGAACCAUCUAUAUUCACAAUCAAAUGGGGAAAAAAAGAAGAAAAAAAAAGAGAAAAGUCCUAAAAAGGCAUACAUCUGAACAAUCCAUAGCAAUGUUAAUUGUGUUGCAAGCAUAUUUGUUAGCAAGAUUAUCUGGAAUGACUUUUUUUAAAGAAUGGAAUGGAACCAUUGUUGUCAUCUAGCUUCACUCCCUGUAUUCAAAGAAUCUUCUUGGUUUGUUACUACAGCUACCACUGCAUUUAGGAAAGUUUGUUAAAUCCGAGAGAGUCAAGACAACCUUCCACUGUUAGUAAAUUCAAGGUUUGUGAAAUAGGGAGACAAACUCAUGCUUCUCUCUUUUGUAAUAUCUUUGUAUCUUCUCAGAGAUGGUGCUGGACAGAAUUCUGCUCUGGGUGGACUUUCUCUUACCUACUUAGUCACACUGGGUGCUGUCAGUGCAGCUAAAACUUCCUUGGGUAAUUUAUUGUUGGUGACAGUGGACACUAAACACGUUGCUGCUUUUCUGUGCUAUAUAUCCUGCUUGGGAUACGACUUCACAAAUGAUAUGAAACAUUGCUUUUGAUUUUGUAUUUCAGUCAGUAGAGUUUAAAACUAAAAACAAACCAACAAAAAACACGACUUUCCCACAGUUUUCAGUAAGCAGCAAGAUCUAGUCAGCUUUGAACCAUGGGUCAAAGUAUAACAAACCAGCAGGGUACUGCAGUGGUCCAAGUCUGUUAGGUACUAACAAUAUUUGUUCUGUUACACUGCCUUGUGACUGCACUAAUUAAAAUGCAGAUAGUCGAAGUUAGCUGUUGAGUAAACCUUCCCUAAGAACAGAGAGCAGAGCAAGCACAGUUCCCUUCACAAAGAGAUGUGUUUGGUUAGCUGCUCCAAUGAGAGUUACUACUCCCUGAGUCAUGUUAGGACUCCACCCUCUGUAGUCCAAUCAUGAGGGUUUCACACAAGCCUCAGGACUGCCAUCAGAGUCUGUAGUUCUGCUGGGUGGAAGCGCACUAAAAAUACACUUCAUCCUUACUCAGAGUGCACAAGGAGAGCAGCAGGUUGUUCUGCUGGAGUACUUGAAAGAGCAGUAUGUCCAACAAUUUUCUUCACUGACAUUUAAAUCCUUAAAAUUAAAACCGCCCAUUCCAGAUUUGUUACUAAUAGAUGGCAUAUGUUCACAAAAUCAUGCAAUAAAACAUUACUUCCUCUUUGCAGCAGACUUAAAUGUUCUGCCAAGAAACUUAAUUGACUCAGCUGACAACGCAGACUUAGUGACCUUCAUCCCAGCAUUCUGAAAUAAUCAGCAAAUGAAAUUGUAAUUCUAGCAGUAAGGAUUUUAAGCAUCCAAUUGCAAACAGCAAAUUUUGUUUGUUAUUCUCAGCACAGAAAAUUUAGUCUUAUUUCCAUUUUCCAAGGCUUAAGCCAAACACAAAGAUGUUGCUCGUGUCAAAGGUGAAUCUUAGGACACGGUGGAUCAGGAUGACACUUGGAUAUCCAGAGGACGUGACAAGAACCACAAUUAAAACAGAGAAGAUGGGAACUAGCAUGACCGAGGCUAAAGAACUUGAAAGUUGUCAGAGGUUACCAUCCGUGCUCAUCGGAAACGAGGUGAACACAAGGUUGCCUUGCCUCAUCAUGCUGCCGAGAGAUGCUUUGGUGAAACUCCAUCCCUAUGUUGCAGCUGACUUGGAUUCUGUGUCUGAGAAGGCCUGACACAGCAAGCAUACAAGAUGUCGCAGAACAGUUUCCGUUUUGAAGAUGCACGGUCAGGAAGCAGUAUGAUUUCUGCUACAAAGACUGGGGCUUCAUCCUGGAAGGAGGAGAACUCUUCAGCAACCACUGGAAAGAACAGUGAGGUGAAGCAGAACAGUUUCAUUUCUCUAUAUUUUAUCUCCGUUAUCAAUUAAUAAAAAUGGAAGUGGAGGAGGGGAAGAAAGACUGACCUAGAAGUCACUCUUUCAAUUAUGUUCUGAGUGUGCUAAUAGUAUGACCUGUAUAAGUAAAUUGCUGAGCACUAAGAUGCAGUGAGUAAAGACUAGCAUUCAGACAGUAUGAUGGAAGUUAGUAUAACAUUGAUGCUAGCUAUGCUAUUCCUGUGAAGCAUUGCAAAGAUCUUCUGAACACUGUUGAGGUUAAUUAAGCCAGUUCCUCACCCCCAGUGAGAAACCAGCUUAUGGAAGGUUAAGGCUUUCAACUUAUGUGCCAAUGGUCAAAACAUUCUGGUAGGAAGAAUGCUCUGAUCUCUGGCUCACAGAUGUGGUUCAGAUAUCACACAAUACUGUCCAAAAUGGGACACUAUAGCCUGCUACGUUCCUUGUUAUCCUGAUACGAUGUCUGUUAGUAACUCAGACAGUCCCUGUCCC